UUCGUAGGUGGUGCGGCAAGUUGGGAGUGAAAUCUCUGGGCUUAACCCAGAGGCUGCUUUCAAAACUGCCGCGCUCGAGUGCGAGAGAGGUCAGUGGAAUUGCAGGUGUAGCGGUGAAAUGCGUAGAUAUCUGCAGGAACACCCGUGGCGAAGGCGGCUGACUGGAUCGCAACUGACACUGAGGAACGAAAGCUAGGGGAGCAAACA
rnacentral:rRNA from 1 species